UACGUAGGGUGCAAGUGUUAAUCGGAAUUACUGGGCGUAAAGCGUACGUAGGCGGAUCGUUAAGUCAGGGGUGAAAGCCUGGAGCUCAACUCCAGAACUGCCUUUGAUACUGGCGAUCUUGAGACCGGGAGAGGUGAGUGGAACUGCUAGUGUAGAGGUGAAAUUCGUAGAUAUUAGCAAGAACACCAGUGGCGAAGGCGGCUCACUGGCCCGGUACUGACGCUGAGGUACGAAAGCGUGGGGAGCAAACAGG
rnacentral:rRNA from 1 species